GAGCUCCAGUUUUCCCUGCAUGUUUAUCAUAUACACAUUGCUUGUCUUCUUUUACUGAUUCGGUAUGGUCUUCAAAUCCCUGUUCCAUGCGUAAUAUCCAGUAGUUAGUUCUGUUUUAAUGCAAUUAGAAUAAGAAAAAAAUGGAAUACUACUGACGGAGCAUUUCAUGAUUUUUUUUUUUCUCAAAAACAUCUAAUAUAUACAAGGGAGGUACAACCGAGUAGAUAAUCAUCUACAGCCUCGGCAACAAAACCAUGACUAAAUUGAUACUCUCAAGAAGCUUCAGCACAAUAACCAUGGGAGUUAAGGAGUUAGGGGAUAUCAGGUUUUAUUUUUAAUUCAAAUCCAAAGCAAUUAUUACGAGCUGCUUUUUUAAUUUAUCUAUUCAACCCAAUUUUGGUCAUUACAGGAUUUUUUCUUGUUUUUUUUUUUUUUUUUUUUUUUUUUUUUUUUUUUUUUUUUUUUUUUUUUUUUUAUACUUGUCUAAUAUUACCAGGUGUGUCUACAUUUAACCAUAUUUAUUAAACAAUUAUUUUUAUAUACAUUCGGGUAAAAUGAUAGCAACAGAAGAAUAAUAUACAUAUUACAUGAUUACCUCAGAAUAAAAAAAAGUAUUUAAAUAUAAAUUUAAAAUUUAAAAAGAUGAUAAUUUAUUUCUACUAUGAUAUUCUACAUGGAACCAACUUAAUCUAAAUAUUUAAAUAAACUUCAUAAAACUGCAAGAUUAUUAUCCAAUUGGGGAUCGGGAAUAACUAUUCUUCACCAGACACUGUUGUUUUGAAUUUCAUUGUAAAUAAAAUACGAGAGAUGGAUUGAUCUCAUCUUUCUCAUUGGCCCAGAACGAGAUGCAGUUGCAGCACAGGGAUAAACUAUGGAUUCAUACUUCGCACGUUCUGCGAAAACGAACAAAAUUCACAAAUAGUCCACAACAUCAGCCGAUAAUACAAUGUAAAAACUCUACCCAAAGUUUUCUAUGUACAAAAGAUAU
rnacentral:lncRNA from 1 species